GACGAACCGUGCGAACGUUAUUCGGAAUCACUGGGCUUAAAGGGCGCGUAGGCGGAUCAGCAAGUCCGGGGUGAAAUCCUCCGGCUUAACCGGAGAAGUGCCUUGGAUACUGCUGGUCUCGAGGGAGAUAGGGGUCAUGGGAACUUCUGGUGGAGCGGUGAAAUGCGUUGAUAUCAGAAGGAACGCCGGUGGCGAAAGCGCAUGACUGGACCUCUUCUGACGCUGAGGCGCGAAAGCUAGGGGAGCGAACGGG
rnacentral:rRNA from 1 species